rnacentral:misc_RNA from 1 species
AGACCGAUAUAUAAAGACGCCUCGACGCAGCUGCAGUCAGUGUAUUCCCCUAUAUCGAAGUAUAAAACGAACGUUUUAGGAAACCGCCGACCAGAAAUCAGAAUUUUGAUCGUCGAUCAUUCGUUCAGCAGCCAUGAAACUCGCGUACACUUUGGCGGUUCUUUUGGUGUUCCUCGCUGUGACGAACGCGCAAUACAAACCGGCUCCUUGUCGCGAGGACGCUUGUUGGACCGUCAAGUGUAUUCAAUAUACCAACGAGACUUGUCCCGAUGGGGUUAUCGUACCGAAAGGUGGCUACUGUGGAUGCUGCAACGCUUGCAGGACUAAGAUCCCGCCUGGUGGGGAUUGUUCGGAACUGAUAACGUCCUCGAAUGCUCCAACUUCGGCGUGCGCACCGGGAACCGAAUGUAAAGAACACUGUCACAAAGGCUGGAUUUGCCAAUAGUGAGAGAAAAAUUAGAAAAAUUAUCGAAAAAAGGUCGAUUUCUUUUGAGACGCCGAAGACGCUCUGCCGGUCACGACGAUGAGAGAAAAAAAAAAAAUAAAAUGAGCCUCGCGGUGUGUUUCAUCUUUACCAAGGUCUCGAAAGAAAUUCAAGGUUUUUUACCCACUUCGUGUUUUACGAACGAUUAAACAAACGACGCUGAAUUAUUUUUAAGAUUAUUUCCACCUGUAACCCGCAACGACGAAUUUUAAUUACCACGAGUAAAGAUAACUUGAACGUUCGAAUUUUUAUGUUUCGUCUUUGCUCGACUCCUCGUAAAAUCGGGGCUUGUGUAUAUAAAAGCCUUUCCUGAAAACAGCGGACAGUAGUCGUUCGACAUCCGAGCGAGAGGUUUUUUUUUUGGAAAAAAUCCAUUUUAUCGUGAGUAUAUUGCACAGAUCGACCAUGAAAUUCGUGUACGCGUUAGUCGUUCUGACUCUGGUCAUAACUGGCCGAGAUGCCAUACAAUGUUCACCGGAAAUAUGUGGCACUUGCGCACCGUUGACCAAACAAGAUUGCAUAGAAAAAGGUCAAGUUUUCGUUUUAAACGGCGGUUUCUGUGGCUGUUGUUCAAUAUGCGCCACGGUUGUUGGAAGAGGAGAGAUCUGCUACAGCGAAGUGCUGAGAGGAUUCCCGCCCACAUCUAUUUGCGAAGAGGGAAGUUCUUGUCGAACGUCGUCCAACGGAACCUGGACCUGUCAAGAAAACAAAAAUUCUCACGAUCGCCACCUGUACGACAUCGUUGUCAGUCUGUUACUUCGCAAUGAAAUCGAGCCAAAGAAUGAAGACGAAUAGAAAAUUUUGAACUCUACCGUAGCGUAGAUCGAAUUGUAGCACGAAUAAAUAGAGACACGAAUAGCGGUCAAAUGCAAA